UACGUAGGGGGCAAGCGUUAUCCGGAUUUACUGGGUGUAAAGGGAGCGUAGACGGCGUGCCAAGUCUGAUGUGAAAGGCCGGGGCUCAACCCCGGGACUGCAUUGAAAACUGGCAUGCUGGAGUGCCGGAGGGGCAAGCGGAAUUCCUGGUGUAGCGGUGAAAUGCUUAGAUAUCAGGAGGAACAUCGGUGGCGUAAGCGCUUUACUGGGCCGUAAUUGACGCUGAGGAACGAAAGCCAGGGUAGCAAAUGGG
rnacentral:rRNA from 1 species